rnacentral:rRNA from 1 species
GAUGAACGCUAGCUACAGGCUUAACACAUGCAAGUCGAGGGGUAACGAGAGGAAAGCUUGCUUUCCUUGUCGACGACCGGCGCACGGGUGAGUAACGCGUAUCCAACCUGCCCCCAACUAAGGAAUAACCUUGCGAAAGUAAGACUAAUACCUUAUAAUUUCCUCAGAUGUCAUCUGACGAGGAAUAAAGAUUUAUCGGUUGUGGAUGGGGAUGCGUCUGAUUAGCUUGUGGGCGGGGUAACGGCCCACCAAGGCAACGAUCAGUAGGGGUUCUGAGAGGAAGGUCCCCCACAUUGGAACGGAGACACGGUCCAAACUCCUACGGGAGGCAGCAGUGAGGAAUAUUGGUCAAUGGGCGGAAGCCUGAACCAGCCAAGUAGCGUGCAGGAUGACGGCCCUAUGGGUUGUAAACUGCUUUUAUACAGGAAUAAAGUUAGCCACGUGUGGUUAUUUGUAGGUACUGUAUGAAUAAGGACCGGCUAAUUCCGUGCCAGCAGCCGCGGUAA